UGCGUAGACGGUGUGCUAAGCUCGUUGUUAAAUUUUCCGGCUUAACCGGAAGCAAGCGAUGGGAACUGGCAUGCUCGAGGAUGGAAGAGAGAAGUGGAAUUCCCGGAGUAGCGGUAAAAUGCGUAGAUCUCGGGAGGAACACCGAUGGCGAAGGCAGCUUCUUGGUCCAUUCCUGACGUUGAGGCACGAAAGCGUGGGGAGCAAACA
rnacentral:rRNA from 1 species